AGACGUAUCGUCCAUUAUCCAGAAUCGCUGCUCGACGAGAUGCCGCUCGAGCGGUGCGUCA
rnacentral:sRNA from 1 species